rnacentral:sRNA from 1 species
GCCGGGCGUGGUGGCGCGUGCCUGUAAUCCCAGCUACUCAGGAGGCUGAGGCAGGAGAAUUGCCUGAACCCAGGAGGCGGAGGUUGCUGUGAGCCGAGAUCGCGCCAUUGCACUCCAGCCUGGAGACAGAGUGAGACUCCCUCUAAACAACAACAAAAGAGGUGUGUAUACCAGAGUUUCUUUCUUUCCUUCUUUAUGUAUUUAUUUUUUUUGAGACGGAGUCUCGCUGUUGUUACCCCGACUGGAGUGCAAUGGCACGAUCUCGGCUCACCGAAACCUCCGCCUUCUGGGUUCAAGCAAUUCUCCUGCCUCAG